UCUGAAAGAAGAGUCCUUUACUCUGGGAAACAUUCUUUUGCCUUCCAUGGCAAUCUCUGUUUGGAGUCUUUAUUCUUGCCUUUCCCCUCCUCAACUUUGUCUUUCUCCACCCCUGCCUUCUCUCUCUCCCUCCCUCUCUUCUUAGCAUAUCCUUUCAUGAUUAGAUUAAUUUGUUUACCCAGACAAGGGGAAGAAUGAGAGUUUGCAUAUUGGUAAGAACAGGCUUCCUUUCCCAGUGCUGGAAACAUUGAACUCUCCUCUCUGCCUUCAUGGAGGCUUCAAGCAAAAAAAAAAAGAAAUGACACCUCAUCCUAAAACAAAAGAUGUUCUGAGAUCUUUUAAAAUCCUGCUGAAGUAAAGAGAGGGCAGAGAGUGUGUGUGUGUGUGUGUGUGUGUGUGUGUGUGGGUAGACCCACAGCCUUGAAGGAUUGUCAAGGCCAGUCUCUGAAGUGGAGACAGACAGUAAGGCUCUGAUGAGCUCUGAUGAGGACUGAUGCCAAGGUGGGUGAGAGGAAGCACACAGGAGCCCUGCUGCAGACAAGAGCUUCAUUCACCAAAGAGUUGAGCUCAGAAACAAAGCAAAUGUUUAGUCGUAUAGCAAAUGGGAAUCUUCUUAAUUUAUUCAGAAGAAUGCAAUACACCUGACAUGGAAAAUCUGAAAUGGGAGAAAGAAGCGUAGCCUUAGUAAAGUGUGUCUCAGCUGCGCACGUGACCAUGAGUGGGAAACCACAACAUCUGGACAGUGGUGAUCUCAUCCACGUAUCAGCCUCAAGGUAUGUGUUUUCACAUUCUAAUCUUAGUGAAAUGAGAAAUUAUUACAUUUCAAUGACCCUUUGUGUCACUGGUAAUUCUUGGAGCCAUAUUUGCUUUUUAAAAGAAUCUAGACUACAAAAUCCCCAUGAGUUAAGUGGGGAAAAAUGUCUUCCUUCACAUCCAGGCCUCAAAAUAGCUCAAUUUUUCAUUAACAAUUCCCAAGUCAUGUCGACAAAGACCAACAGCCCCACCAUAGCCCCCAAAAGUUGUGAUUUAUUUCUCAAGUUUAUGAAAGACUAUGGUUCAAAUAGAAGAGAUAUUUGCAAGAAAAAAAGAUAA
rnacentral:lncRNA from 1 species